UGGGGAAUAUUGCGCAAUGGGGGGAACCCUGACGCAGCGACGCCGCGUGAGCGAAGAAGGCCUUCGGGUUGUAAAGCUCUGUUUUAAGGGUACGAAACGUAGUGGUAGGAAAUGACCAUUGCCUGACGGUACCUUAAGAGAAAGCCCCGGCUAACUACGUGCCAGCAGCCGCGGUAAGACGUAGGGGCGAGCGUUGUCCGGAAUUACUGGGCGUAAAGAGCACGUAGGCGGAAACUUAAGUCCAUUGUGAAAGACCGGGGCUCAACCCCGGGGUUGCAGUGGAAACUGAAUUUCUUGAGGGCAGGAGAGGAAAGCGGAAUUCCUGGUGUAGCGGUGAAAUGCGUAGAAAUCAGGAGGAACACCGGUGGCGAAGGCGGCUUUCUGGACUGACCCUGACGCUGAGGUGCGAAAGCGUGGGUAGCAAACAGGAUUAGAUACCCUGGUAGU
rnacentral:rRNA from 1 species